CCUACGGGAGGCAGCAGUGAGGAAUAUUGGUCAAUGGGCGCGAGCCUGAACCAGCCAAGUCGCGUGAAGGAUGACUGCCCUAUGGGUUGUAAACUUCUUUUAUAAGGGAAUAAAGUGAGGCACGUGUGCCUUUUUGUAUGUACUUUAUGAAUAAGGAUCGGCUAACUCCGUGCCAGCAGCCGCGGUAAUACGGAGGAUCCGAGCGUUAUCCGGAUUUAUUGGGUUUAAAGGGUGCGUAGACGGGUUGUUAAGUCAGUUGUGAAAGUUUGCGGCUCAACCGUAAAAUUGCAGUUGAUACUGGCAGCCUUGAGUACAGUUGAGGUAGGCGGAAUGCGUGGUGUAGCGGUGAAAUGCUUAGAUAUCACGAAGAACGCCGAUUGCGAAGGCAGCUUACUAAACUGCCACUGACAUUGAUGCUCGAAAGUGUGGGUAUCAAACAGGAUUAGAUACCCCAGUAGUC
rnacentral:rRNA from 1 species